rnacentral:rRNA from 1 species
UACGAAGGGAGCUAGCGUUGUUCGGAAUUACUGGGCGUAAAGAGCGCGUAGGCGGUCUGUAAAGUUAGGAGUGAAAGCCCAAGGCUUAACCUUGGAACUGCUCUUAAAACUCAUAGACUAGAGAUUGGUAGAGGAUGGUGGAAUUCCUAGUGUAGAGGUGAAAUGCGUAGAUAUUGGGAAGAACACCUGAGGCGAAGGCGGGUUGCUGGGCCGACACUGACGCUGAGGCGCGAAAGCCAGGGGAGCAAACGGG